CAGGCUGGCACCAGGAGGGUACUCUCCACUUUGACACUCUCCCCUUGGUGCCAAAAAUGCUUGAUCUUAGUCAAAAGACAAAGAUACCGAUGGAAACCUACCACAAUAACAGAAAUUGCAGUAUUCAGCAUCUUUUCCAAAAGUGGUAUCAUCUUAUGAUUGGAGAAUCAUGGAAAAAUGCAGCUGGAAUCGCAGUCCCAACUUCUGCUUAAGGCAAGAACUUCCUUGCCUCAGUUAUCUUGGGGAAAUGGUUACACACCAGAGGUGGCACUGCAUGUAAAGACCGACUUUCCCUUGCCUGAAGGAUUUACUAGAUAAGAUUACAUGCGCUAAAAGAAGCAAGUCUAGAGACACCAUGCUUCCCAUGUGGCUCCCAAGAUGACAGAGUCCUGUGUUAAUGCUCUCACAGGAUUAUAGACUGAGAACUGUAGCUUGUGCCUGAAGCAGCAAAUGAACUGCUGGAAGUAUCUUGAUGACGCUUGCGAUGUGGAAAUAACACUUUAGUUACUGGAACUUAUAUAAUGAAAUACAGUGAAGACAUAAGUCUUGCUACUGCCUUUGUAGGGGUCUGAAGCUAACUUUGUCUAACAUAGAGUAAGUUCUUUUGGGAAUAUGGAAUGUCCAUGAAUUGUGGCACCCCAGAGAUAGUCUGGGUGAGGCAGCUUGUAUGAGGAACUUCAUGGUGCUACACUUUAUGGACACUCUGGGUGCAUCUACAUGGUGCUGUGCUUUAGUAUUUCCUUUUGGAAGUGCUAAAGCAUGAUGCAGGAAAGGUGGUUAAUCCACCAUGCACACAGCACAUGGUUAGAUUUUGCCGCUACAUUGCCAUAGUGGCACACUAUACUGGGGGAAUGUGCCACUACAGUGACAUAACUGGUGAUCACAUAUAGACCCACAUGACUGCUACGUCACCAUAGUGCACCAUACAACGAUGUAGCAUGUCACUACAUUGCCAUAGGGUGAUGUGUAGAGAUGACCUUUAUGUUCCCAGGGGGGAUUAGUCUGUCACACAGUUGGCAGUGCCAGGGAAAAAUGCUUUUUUUCUGUGCUCUGUCUUCCAAAAACAAGGUAUGUAUUCUAUUUGGGGUGUAUCAUGUAUGGGAAAGUACAGUAUGAACAAACCAGUGAGCCAUUGGCCAACUCUAGUAAAAUUCUUGGAUGCAAAUUAUUUAAAAUAACUGUUUUUAAGGUGCUUACUGAAAGAGUAAAGCAUAGGCAUCUGGUGCCUCCAGAUACUGGGGGGGCACCAGCAGUCAAUUGCUGAUCAGGGGACGGGGCAGGGGGUGUCCCCCAGUGGCUGAUCACCAACCGGGGAGGGGGGAUCCCCCAACAGCUGAUCACUGCCGCUGGCAAAAGUGCUGGCGGCAAAACCAGAAGUACCAGAGGCAAACCCAGAAGUGCCGCCAGUGCUUCUCUCAGUGCCUCCACAAUCUCAGGGGGGCACUGGCCAUCACCACCCACUCCCCAGCUGGUGAAGGACAAUAUCGGGGAGGGGCACAUGUCCCCACCUGUGCUUCCCCUAUGGAGUAAGGGUUGAUCAUCCUACUUAGUAACACUUGUAAGAACAAGUUUGCUCACAUUUUAUCAUUAUCUAUUUAUCUUUUCCCCAAGUUUAAGAUAGAAAGAUUUAUUGAAUCCUUCUGCUUCCUCGGUGAUGGUUUAUCUCUAUCUGGUACUAGACCAGUACCACUUUCAGGAGGUAAGGAGGUAAUAGACUUGUUUUUACAGUAGGGUAUCUUGAACUCUCUAUUUAAACUACCUCUCCCC